AGCGUGACGGCGCGAGCAGGUGCGAAAGCAGGUCAUAGUGAUCCGGUGGUUCUGAAUGGAAGGGCCAUCGCUCAACGGAUAAAAGGUACUCCGGGGAUAACAGGCUGAUACCGCCCAAGAGUUCAUAUCGACGGCGGUGUUUGGCACCUCGAUGUCGGCUCAUCACAUCCUGGGGCUGAAGUAGGUCCCAAGGGUAUGGCUGUUCGCCAUUUAAAGUGGUACGCGAGCUGGGUUUAGAACGUCGUGAGACAGUUCGGUCCCUAUCUGCCGUGGGCGCUGGAGAACUGAGGGGGGCUGCUCCUAGUACGAGAGGACCGGAGUGGACGCAUCACUGGUGUUCGGGUUGUCAUGCCAAUGGCACUGCCCGGUAGCUAAAUGCGGAAGAGAUAAGUGCUGAAAGCAUCUAAGCACGAAACUUGCCCCGAGAUGAGUUCUCCCUGACUCCUUGAGGGUCCUGAAGGAACGUUGAAGACGACGACGUUGAUAGGCCGGGUGUGUAAGCGCAGCGAUGCGUUGAGCUAACCGGUACUAAUGAACCGUGAGGCUUAACCUUACAACGCCGAAG
rnacentral:rRNA from 1 species